rnacentral:rRNA from 1 species
CGCAUCUGUGCAUGCAGCAUAUCAAUAAGCGGAGGAAAAGAAACUAACAAGGAUUCCCCUAGUAACGGCGAGUGAAGCGGGAAGAGCUCAAAUUUGAAAUCUUAAAGGGUUUCCCUUUACGAAUUGUAGUUUAAAGAAGUGUUUUCUGUUGAGGUUUUGGUAAAAGUUCUUUGGAAUAGGACAUCAUAGAGGGUGAGAAUCCCGUAUUUGACCAUUUACUUUCAGCUUUGUGAUACACUUUCAAAGAGUCGGAUUGUUUGGGAAUGCAGUCCAAAAUGGGUGGUAAAUUUCAUCUAAAGCUAAAUAUUGGCGAGAGACCGAUAGCGAACAAGUACCGUGAGGGAAAGAUGAAAAGAACUUUGAAAAGAGAGUUAAACAGUACGUGAAAUUGUCAAAAGGGAAGCGUUUGACACCAGUGUUGUUUUUCUGAAAAUCAAUUAAAGAACUGUUUAUGCUAAGUUGUUUAGACUUUAUCAGCUAACUGUUUAGUUUUGAGCUUUUCUUUAAUGCACUUUUCAGUUAACAAGUCAACAUCAAUUUCUUUUGCUGUAAAAAAGCUUGAGGAAGGUGGCUUGAGAUUCGUCUUAAGUGUUUAUAGCCUCUUGCCUAUGCAGUCGGAGAGAUUGUGGUCUGCAGCGUAGAUCCUUCGGGGCUAAAUGCAUUUGUGCUAAGUUAUAGCAUUUUAUAGACAACUUGUUGACUAUGAUUUGUCCUGUAGCUUACUCGCUUAUGUUAUUUUACCUACGCUUAGGAUGUUGAUAGUCACAGCGUGUAC